rnacentral:misc_RNA from 1 species
ACGGACAACGAGAUUGAAAGUGCAGUACUAACUUUUUACAUACAUCUGCCUCCAAGUACCGCUGUUAUGAUAGAGGAUUUGGAUUGUACAGAAGAUAUAGAAGCAGAUCAAAAAGACAACCAAAUCAACAUUCAUGAAAAAACAGAAACAAGGAGAUCAUUAAUAAGCAUAUGGAAAUGAUCUUCCAGGACCAAGAAAAGGAAAUUUUUAAAGUUGUCGUUGCCAACAAACAUUUUUUGUGCACUCUCAACCUAAUCUGUAACUUAAACCCGCCAAAGAAAACAAAUAUCUAAUGUGAAUGUAAGAAGCCCUGGCUUGAGGACAAUAUAAAAUGAAGUGAUAUAGUUCCUCGAAUGAUGAUAACAGGAGACAGCCAAGUAGAAUCAGCAUUUGAUCUGAUAUCCCCUGUUCCACAAGAUAUUGUGUUGCCAGAUUUCCACUGGUGCAUUCACUUGAACCAUAACAAGGGACUCAAUUUGAGUUUAGAAACACCAUAUGUUGACUGUUGCAGCGUGUAGCAAUAAAAACUCUUUGAUCUUCACUCUGGUGUUUCUCAUGAUUAUUAAUGACCCAAAAUACCUCAAUGAACUUCCAGUGAAAUGAAGAUAUUUAAGCUUUGCAUGAUAGUUUUUACUUUUACGGAGCAAGUUAUAAAGACACUUCAUCUAGCACUUCAUCUAACAGAUUUUGCUUGUAUAUGGCCAAAUUCUCUGUAUAAGCAUAAACUCCAUUCUCCAUAGAUGCCAAGGGACUUCCUCUCCUGAUGAAUUGAUUUUCUCUAUAUAUGUAAAGCAUUGGUACUCCGGUUGAG